rnacentral:rRNA from 1 species
UACGUAGGGUGCAAGCGUUGCCCGGAUUUACUGGGCGUAAAGGGCGCGUAGGCGGCGUGACAAGUCACUUGUGAAAUCUCUGGGCUUAACCCAGAACGGCCAAGUGAAACUGUUGUGCUAGAGUGCAGAAGGGGCAAUCGGAAUUCUCGGUGUAGCGGUGAAAUGCGUAGAUAUCGGGAGGAACACCGGUGGCGAAGGCGGUUCUCUGGGCAUGUCCUGACGCUGAGGAGCGAAAGUGUGGGGAGCGAACAGG